rnacentral:tRNA from 1 species
UCAGAUGUAGCUCACAGGAAAAGCACUUGCCUGGCAGUGCAAGGUCCUGGGUUUAAUCCCCAGCACCCAAA